GAUGAACGCUGGCGGCGUGCUUAACACAUGCGAGUCGAACGAAGCAUUUGCGACAGAUUUUUUCGGAAUGAAGUUGCUUAUGACUGAGUGGCGGACGGGUGAGUAACGCGUGGGUAACCUGCCUUGUACUGGGGGAUAGCAGCUGGAAACGGCUGGUAAUACCGCAUAAGCGCACAAUGUUGCAUGACAUGGUGUGAAAAGCUCCGGUGGUAUAAGAUGGACCCGCGUCUGAUUAGCUAGUUGGUGAGAUAACAGCCCACCAAGGCGACGAUCAGUAGCCGACCUGAGAGGGUGACCGGCCACAUUGGGACUGAGACACGGCCCAGACUCCUACGGGAGGCAGCAGUGGGGAAUAUUGCACAAUGGAGGAAACUCUGAUGCAGCGACGCCGCGUGAGUGAAGAAGUAAUUCGUUAUGUAAAGCUCUAUCAGCAGGGAAGAUAGUGACGGUACCUGACUAAGAAGCUCCGGCUAAAUACGUG
rnacentral:rRNA from 1 species